rnacentral:rRNA from 1 species
UACAGAGGUCUCAAGCGUUGUCCGGAUUCAUUGGGCGUAAAGGGCGUGUAGGUGGCGCCGUAAGUCGGGUGUGAAAUUUCGGAGCUUAACUCCGAAACUGCAUUCGAUACUGCGGUGCUUGAGGACUGGAGAGGAGACUGGAAUUCAUGGUGUAGCAGUGAAAUGCGUAGAGAUCAUGAGGAAGACCAGUGGCGAAGGCGGGUCUCUGGACAGUUCCUGACACUGAGACACGAAGGCCAGGGGAGCAAACGGG